rnacentral:rRNA from 1 species
GACGAACGCUGGCGGCGUGCUUAACACAUGCCAGUCGAACGGAAAGGCCCUGCUUUUGUGGGGUGCUCGAGUGGCGAACGGGUGAGUAACACGUGAGUAACCUGCCCUUGACUUUGGGGUAACUUCAGGAAACUGGGGCUAAUACCGGAUAGGAGCUCCUGCUGCAUGGUGGGGGUUGGAAAGUUUCGGCGGUUGGGGAUGGACUCGCGGCUUAUCAGCUUGUUGGUGGGGUAGUGGCUUACCAAGGCUUUGACGGGUAGCCGGCCUGAGAGGGUGACCGGGCACAUUGGGACUGAGGUACGGCCCAGACUCCUACGGGGGGCAGCAGUGGGGAAUAUUGCACAAUGGGCGGAAGCCUGAUGCAGCAACGCCGCGUGCGGGAUGACGGCCUUCGGGUUGUAAACCGCUUUCGCCUGUGACGAAGCGUGAGUGACGGUAAUGGGUAAAGAAGCACCGGCUAACUACGUG